rnacentral:tRNA from 4 species
GGGCCCGUGGGUUAGCUUGGCCAAUACUCGAGCGUUUGGGACGCUUGGACUCCGGUUCAAAUCCGGACGGGCCCA